UACGGGGGGAGCAAGCGUUGUUCGGAUUUACUGGGCGUAAAGGGCGCGUAGGCGGCCACUGCAAGUCGGUUGUGAAAUCUCCGGGCUUAACCCGGAAAGGUCAAUCGAUACUGCAGGGCUAGAGUGCGGAAGGGGCAACUGGAAUUCUCGGUGUAGCGGUGAAAUGCGUAGAUAUCGAGAGGAACACCUGAGGUGAAGACGGGUUGCUGGGCCGACACUGACGCUGACAGCGCGAAAGCCAGGGGAGCAAACGGG
rnacentral:rRNA from 1 species